AUACGGAGGGGGCUAGCGUUGUUCGGAAUCACUGGGCGUAAAGCGCGCGUAGGUGGAUCAAUUAGUUGAGGGUGAAAUCCCGGGGCUCAACCUCGGAACUGCCUUCAAUACUGUUGAUCUUGAGACCGAGAGAGGUGAGUGGAAUUCCUAGUGUAGAGGUGAAAUUCGUAGAUAUUAGGAAGAACACCAGUGGCGAAGGCGGCUCACUGGCUCGGUACUGACGCUGAGGUGCGAAAGCGUGGGGAGCAAACAGGAUUAGAAACCCUAGUAGUCC
rnacentral:rRNA from 1 species